AACGAUUGAAAAUUUCAUGGUUUCUGUUUAAAAAAAUCCGAAUAUUUUUUUUUCGUUAUAGGUCUGCUUCGUCUUAUGUCAUUAAAACUAUGUUUACAAUCUUAUUUUUUACAUUAUCAAGUUUACGAAGGCGUUUUCAUUCAUUAUUGCAGUUUAAAGAUAAUCAGAGAUGAAUAUUCUAACUAUUAUUUCAAUUCGAUCGAUUUUUACUUGCCUUUUUCCUGGAUUUAAUGGAAAUUUUUGUAAUGUAGAUUCUUCGAUUUUUUUUUCUGUUAAUCUUGUAUGAGAAAUUAAAAAAAAAAUUGGCUUUAGAUUUUUGAUCAUUAUAGAAUAUUAUUUUAUUGUUUUGUUAGCUAUAUCUGAUUUUAAUUUACUGUGAACUUAUUAAUAGCGAUAUGCUUACUUGGACAAGACGAUGAAGGUGUAAGGUGGGGCCUUCCACCCCGUUCGUGUUGUCAAAGCAGACGGAGCGAGUUCAACCUAGAUUUUCUAAAUGUGUACGGGUUAACGACAAUAUGUCCCUGAAUGGAACAUUUGACCUCUGUUUCGAAAUGGUUGCUCGUCAUGCUUGCCGCCUCUGACUUGCACAUCAAAUGAUCUUUUAUUUUAUUUUAUUUUUUUUGUCACCCCACCGCCUCUUUUGGCUCCUCUUACCCCUGUAUGUGCAGCAGAUGGCAUUCUAUGCCGCUUGCUUAACCAACUGUUUGCCAGUCGACACCUCUACUGUAAAAAUGAUAGAAAAGGUGUGUCACAUCGUCACUCUACUUUUAUGUUUUUUAAUAUUUGCCGCUUAUAUACUGUCUCUAGACACGAUAUACGGUUUUCUCAAAGUUCUUACGUAAAAAUUUAUUAAAAUUACCCUCUUAAAAAUCUAUAAUUAGAUCGACUACUUGAGUCAUCACUUGGUACAUUUCGAAUAGACCUACUGUCUCCUCCGAUUCCGUGUAAAACGAUAUCAAUGUUUAAUUUGAGAUUAACGCAACGGACAUUGAGUCAGGAAGUUAGAAUAUGCAAUACAAAGCGAUUACAUAUUGCGAAAUGCUAAAUUUAUUUAAAACGUAUUUCCUAUAGUUUAAUUAAACGCGAAUUAUGUUAUCUUUUUAUUAUUUUUUAUGAUUUUUUUUUUAAGAAGAGAUUUAAAAUUUUUAUUGGGAUUAUUCUUAGAGAUUUCCGUAUUUUUAUUGAAUUUCCUGUUGGGGGACAGGUUCCUCGGGUUGAUUCACGAUCCAAUAAUUUGUGAACGAUCUUUUGCGGUCAUCAAUGGCAUCAGUUCUUCUUUUUCGCUACUCGAUGACGAGAAUAACGGACUUAACCACGUGACGGGAAGUGGGGCUAUGUUAUCUGAGAUUAGAAGUUGAAUGGUGGUGAAGGAAAAGAAACGGCCAAGUCCCGAUGCUUGGACAGUGAUGGCGUAGGAAAAGAUCCUAUUACUUUCAAGGCGGACGUGAAUAUACCGGCGCCAUCUUGUUUUUUAACCUUGCAAGGGACUUACAGUGAAGUUUUGUUCGAUGUGUGAGGUCUCGGACGAAACUGGAGAGAUUUAAAAGAGCGGAGAGGAAAAAAAGUUAACUUAUUUAGAUUGAUACGUUUAAUCGGUGUUCUAAAGUUUAAGUAACGUGGAACGGAGUUGUUGUCCAUCCGAUUUCUCCGUAAAACUCGCCAUAUGGCCUAGAACGUCCAAAAAACCGGAGAGAUCCGAUACUCUGUAAAAAAAAGGAAAAACAUUACGCGCUUUCCAGUUCUUGACAGCUCAAAUCCCCUACACAAGUUUAUAAAUUAAUAUAGUAGAAUUGUGGAUAAGAUGCACUCUUUUAUAAACAUUUUUUUAAUCAAAAAUAAAAUAAAUAUUUAUAGGGCGAUCGAUUUACAAAAGGGAUGUUUAUGUAUAAUCACGUUGGCCCGAAGAAGUAAAUCGUAUGAAUGAUUUUUAGCUGCAUUCCGAGCUACAAUAAACGAUUACAGUGCUAGCGACAGGUGCUCAUCUAUUGAUAGCACAUAUAAAUGCCCCCAGCGCAUCUUGGAGACAUGGAAUUGCCAAUAAGGAUAGGGAGCUGAAAGGAUUUCAUGCCCUCUUUGUGCGCUUACAUCGCCGUCCAGUUGUGUCGAAACUGUUAAAGAAGAAAGACUUGCCGGGCUAGACGUUAGCAGUUUAUUUGGUGUUAAGAAGAGAGGACGGCAGCCGGGUCCCGCCGACUUCCGCUGCGUUGGCACAUCACAAAUUGAAUCCUCUUUUAUUCACUGAACCGCAAAGCUUCUGACCAACUCGAAGAACGAAGAGGGUGAGAUGAUAUAUACGUGUCACUACAGACUGACUCGCACAAAACAAAAUAUUCAACUUCUCUGACGUCACGGGUGGGUGUAAAAUCGGCGUCGCGCUUUGCAACCGGCAGAGGACAAAGAAAGGUCAAAAGACUGCCAUUUAUCUUCGAUACAGAUGGAAAGAAGUUAAAAUUUCGAAAUAUUACACGUGUUGAGUUAGUCUGUAAGGCCUAUAGAAAUCCCUAUAUAUAUAAGAUUUUUAUCGCCGUCACCAAAUAUUUCAUUUGACCACCCGUGCUGAGGAGCGGCAGGUAUAAUCAGCGUGCAGAUGAAAAGGUCAGGUAUUGUUCGUAAGUACACGAUUGCCCCCGAGCUUAGUCCGGGAUGGUUGAGAUAGACCCGGAAACCUCCUCAACACCCACCAGGCAAGCGAGCUUGACCUUGGGAGAAGCAGGGGCUAACGAAGAGUCAGUACUGCACGCGACACAAGACAACCUAAAGCACUAAGGUAAAAGAACCAUUGCGUGCAGCUGGCGUUAGUUGAACCUGUCCCCCUUAAUCCCUCUGCAUGGUUUUCAAACUUGCCGAGCCUCCAGCUUGACUGUUUUUUCUUCACGUGGCCGAUAGUGCGAUACGAAUAUCUGUGCAACCUUCAAUCGCUGAUCUAUUUACUCGUUGUCCAUCAAGAUGACGCUCGAAUUUCCGCAUCGUUAGCAGAUAUAAGUGUUUCAACUUUUCACCCCAUUUGCAUUUUUACACUGUUAACCAGAAUUAAUUUACAGCCGAUAAGGAUAUCACUUCGACGUGGUCCAUCCUCUCUUUUCCAUAAGUACAAAAAAAUAAUAAAAUAAUAAAAAAAAUUGAGUUGCAUCGCAGCAGCAGAACUUCCGUUGUGGCUGAUGUACUAAUUUUUGCGGUUCUUUCGAGUAGAAGUACACAGUUCAGGGAGUAAAUUCUAGCCGGGGGCAAUCCUCACGGCUAAUUUAACAUAUUCGGACGAGUAGUGGACUAAAAAAGAUAAUCGGACAAGAGAUUUUUAUCUCAUUACUCUGGCUAAAUUCGUAUCCAUUGUCCUGCGUAGUCAAGUUCAGGUUAGGUAGAGACCCCCUGGAGUCGUCCGAUUAUCCAAGGCUGUUUAUCCCCCGUGCUUACCGUGAAUUACUGUAAUCUAAGGAUAUUAAUUUCCUUAAGAUUACAGCGUGGCGUAAGAGAGUAAUUUUUAAAAUGGCUCCAACCGUUAUUAUAGCUUGGAUACCCGAACCAUUUUGCAAUCGGCCCGCCAAUUCUUUGCCAAAAUACCGCGUUUGGAUGAUAAUGUUUUUGUCGAAACAUUUUGUUAUCUCCUCGAAUUUUCUCCGAGGACAUUGCUACUGCUUCUUGGCGUGAGAAUUUUCGAAAACACUUGGGAUAAUAACAGUUUUUUUGACUUGCACUCUUACUUCUCAUUAGCAUAUUCUGUUUAAAGCGGAUAUGCGACAUACUUCUCUUUCUUACGUUCCGAUUUCUUUUCCAAGCUUAUAAAGCAUCCAAAUUAUAAGUCGUCU
rnacentral:lncRNA from 1 species